rnacentral:rRNA from 1 species
AAUUACCCAAUCCUGACACAGGGAGGUAGCGACAAGAAAUAACAAUACAGGGCUUAAAGUCUUGUAAUUGGAAUGAUGGGAAUCUAAACCCUUCCCAGAGUAUCAAUUGGAGGGCAAGUCUGGUGCCAGCAGCCGCGGUAAUUCCAGCUCCAAUAGCGUAUAUUAAAGUUGUUGCAGUUAAGAAGCUCGUAGUUGAAUUUCUGCCUUGUCGUUAAAUUCGCUUCCGAGCGUUUUUUUAUUGACUUGGCAUCUUCUGGAUUUGGUUCCCUUCGGGGUUCUAUUUUCCGGGAUUUACUUUGAGAAAACUAGAGUGUUUCAAACAGGCAUUUGCCUUGAAUACUACAGCAUGGAAUAAUGAAGUAGGACUUUGGUUCUAUUUUGUUGGUUAUUGAGCCAGAGUAAUGGUUAAUAGGAGCAGUUGGGGGCAUUCGUAUUUAA